UACGUAGGUGACGAGCGUUGUCCGGAUUUACUGGGCGUAAAGAGCGCGCAGGCGGUCGUUCAAGUCGAGUGUGAAAGCCCCCGGCUCAACUGGGGAGGGUCACUCGAUACUGAUCGACUCGAAGGCAGGAGAGGGUAGUGGAAUUCCCGGUGUAGUGGUGAAAUGCGUAGAGAUCGGGAAGAACAUCGGUGGCGAAAGCGCUCUGCUGGACUGCAACUGACACUCUAGUGCGAAAGCGUGGGGAGCAAACAGG
rnacentral:rRNA from 1 species